AAAUUUAACUACUUGAAUUCAUAUUUUACUCAAUUCAAUCUAAAUUUCAUGUUAUAAAAAAACUACCAUAUUGCCACUAAACUUUUGACUACUUUACAAUUUAGUCCUAAACUCAAAAAAAAAUAAAAAUUCAAGCAAUUUAAUCCACACCUAUGCUACCGAACUUCAUACAAGCUUAUAGCAGCCCACAUAUUACAUUAAUUCAAAUGUUUCACCACAUAAUUUUAACUUUUC
rnacentral:lncRNA from 1 species